CGGAGUACUUGGCGAAACUCCGUCUGGGGAGCGACGGUGGCGGCUACGGACUGUCGCUGUUUACUGGGGUGGCUUAUAGUCUCCAAACGGCCGAAAAUCGAAGCGAACCGCCCGGAACUCCCGUCGUUUUGAGAAACAAAAGCAUGACGGAGCCGCAGUCGGCGCUCUUACUCAGGAGACAGCUGGCAGAGCUGAAUAAGAACCCAGUAGAGGGCUUCUCUGCAGGCUUGAUAGAUGACAGCGACCUCUAUCGAUGGGAAGUUCUAAUCAUUGGCCCACCCGAUACCCUGUAUGAAGGAGGCGUGUUUAAAGCACACCUUACGUUCCCUAAAGACUAUCCCCUCAGACCGCCCAAAUUGAAAUUCAUCACUGAAAUAUGGCACCCCAACGUUGACAAGAACGGCGAUGUAUGUAUUUCGAUAUUGCAUGAGCCCGGAGAAGACAAAUACGGCUAUGAGAAGCCAGAGGAACGCUGGCUCCCUAUCCACACAGUGGAAACCAUCAUGAUUAGCGUCAUAUCCAUGUUAGCAGAUCCCAACGGAGACUCGCCCGCAAACGUAGACGCUGCAAAAGAAUGGAGAGAAGACAGAAAUGGAGAAUUCAAAAGGAAAGUUGCCCGAUGUGUUAGAAAGAGCCAAGAGACUGCUUUUGAGUGACACUCAUCCUGCAGCUUAUAGCUUCAUUGUUUUCAGGGUAAGGGGGAUCGGCUUCCGCUGUGGUCCGUCCACAGGAGCAGUUUUGAGGUGGCGGCCCCCCCUGUACGUAGGGAGUUGGUGUGGUCUGCAGAGCGCUUGUGGCACAGAGAGAGGUCUCCGGUUGAGAAUCAUGGCACUGUUUUCCUGCACUCUGCCCACCUUUCGGCAGAGUUGUUCUUAUCGAACGUCGCCAGACACAUGCUGGCAAAAUAAGCUGCAUCAGAAGGAGAUGCCUGGUAGUGGUGGUGACGCGAAGGCCGAGCAAGUGCCAACCCUAGAAGUCUCUCUUCCCUCCUCUGAAGUCUAUGAACUGCUUCAAUUUUCAGGAAGAAUUGUAAAGACGUGUACAUAGCACCAACGUUAAACAGAUAAUAUAUAAACUGUUCAUAUUUCAUAUUCACCCGGCAACACACACAGUACCAAAUAAAUAGUGCAUCUUUAGUUGGAACAGGAAUCCUGUUGAUUCUUGAAGAUUCUCAUUCUUCUUUUUUUAUUUUUGUGUGCAUCUCUUCUGUUACAAAUUAUUUUCACAAGACUAGUGAAUGGAUCUUGGUGGGGAGAGUUUUUAGGCUUUUUAAACAUGGCUACUUUGGUCCAGAAAGUUCUGUCUGGGAUUGCGUGACCUAAAUGAGGGGAGGUGUCUUUUGAAAGGUGAAGCAUGUGUCUUAUGAUAGAUUUCCUCUUACUCUCAUUUCUUUGGGAUUUCAGAGUUUAUUUUGUCUUGCACAAGGUGCAUUCUUUGGAUUGGGGGGGGGGGAGAGUGUGUUCAUAAAAACAAAGACGGAUUACACCUUGUGUGUGUGUGUUUAAAAUGAAUUUUGGAAUGGUGAUUCACAUGAGACGUGCAGCAUGUUGCAAGAAUAUUUUUGAGUUUUAAUUUCUGUCAAAAGUGCCUCCUGUCAAAUUGCUCAGUAAAUAUAUUCUGCAUUAAACAGAAGUUUAAAAGACUGCACCACACCACUCGAGCAUGAGUGCUAACCAGGAUAAUGAGGAAGACAAAAAGGUUCAUCUAGCAAUAACCCUUUGUUGCGAUCAGUGCAUUUUGAAAAGCUGAAGAUUGAAGCUCUCCUCAUACUUGCCCUCUGAAAAGUUUUUUUUUCUUUUGUGGAUUCUUGCAUAGUACCUUAGAGUAUACUUUAACUGUAGGUGGUCUUAUAGGCAGUCCUGGGUUUUUCGAAAUUCAAAGAUGUUCGCGAGUGUGUUGGUCUGUUGUACAUGAACACUUUUUUUAUUUUUUAUUUGUUGCCUCAUUUUAUGCUGCCACUGAAGGACUACUGCAAUUUUUCUUGCCUAUUGUAAAUAGACAAAAUACUGAUGUAUAUUUUUCAUGUCAUGGAAACCUUCUGUAGUGAGUUCUUCCAAAAUAUAAUUUUCUUUCCAA